rnacentral:rRNA from 1 species
GACGGAGGGUGCAAGCGUUGUUCGGAUUGACUGGGCGUAAAGGGCGUGUAGGCGGUCGGCCAAGUCUGAUGUGAAAGCCCGAGGCUCAGCCUCGGAAGUGCGUCGGAAACUAGUCGGCUGGAGCGCGAUAGAGGAGGGUGGAAUUCCUGGUGUAGCGGUGAAAUGCGUAGAUAUCGAGAGGAACACCAGUGGCGAAGGCGAGUCCCUGGACGACUCCUGACACUGAGGCACGAAAGCUAGGGGAGCAAACAGG